AUUGAACGCUGGCGGCAUGCCUUACACAUGCAAGUCGAACGGUAACAGGUCUUUCUGGAUGCUGACGCGUGGCCAACGGGUGAGUAAUUCAUCGGAACGUGCCUAGUAGUUGGGGCUAACUACUCGAAAGAGUGCCUAAUACCGCAUGAGAUCUAUGGAUGAAAGCAGGGGACCUUUGGGCCUUGUGCUACUUGCUCGGCCGAUGGCAGAUUAGGUCGUUGGUGGGAUAAAAGCUUACCAAGCCUACGAUCUGUAGCUGGUCUGAGAGGACGAUCAGCCACACUGGGACUGAGACACGGCCCAGACUCCUACGGGAGGCAGCAGUGGGGAAUUUUGCACAAUGGGCGCAAGCCUGAUCCAGCAAUGCCGCGUGCAGGAUGAAGGCCUUCGGGUUGUAAACUGCUUUUAUACGGAACGAAAAGUCUUGGGUUAAUACCCUGGGAUCAUGACGGUACCGUAAGAAUAAGCACCGGCUAACUACGUG
rnacentral:rRNA from 1 species